AUUGAACGCUGGCGGCAUGCCUUACACAUGCAAGUCGAACGGCAGCACGGGAGCAAUCCUGGUGGCGAGUGGCGAACGGGUGAGUAAUAUAUCGGAACGUGCCCAGUCGUGGGGGAUAACGCAGCGAAAGCUGUGCUAAUACCGCAUACGAUCUACGGAUGAAAGCGGGGGAUCGCAAGACCUCGCGCGAUUGGAGCGGCCGAUAUCAGAUUAGCUAGUUGGUGGGGUAAAGGCCCACCAAGGCGACGAUCUGUAGCUGGUCUGAGAGGACGACCAGCCACACUGGAACUGAGACACGGUCCAGACUCCGACAGGAGGCAGCAGUGGGGAAUUUUGGACAAUGGGCGCAAGCCUGAUCCAGCAAUGCCGCGUGCAGGAUGAAGGCCUUCGGGUUGUAAACUGCUUUUGUACGGAACGAAACGGCCCUUUCUAAUACAGGGGGCUAAUGACGGUACCGUAAGAAUAAGCACCGGCUAACUACGUGCCAGCCGCCGCAGUAAAAC
rnacentral:rRNA from 1 species